ensembl:snoRNA
UGCUGGUGGUGAAGCACCCCGUCUCCGAGUCCUGGGCCUUGCCAGGGGUAAGCC